CAGUAGCCGCGGUAAUACGAGGGGGGCGAGCGUUGUUCGGAAUUAUUGGGCGUAAAGGGUGCGUAGGCGGUUCGGUAAGUCUUAUGUGAAAUCUUCGGGCUCAACUCGAAGUCUGCAUGAGAAACUGCCGGGCUUGAGUGUGGGAGAGGUGAGUGGAAUUUCCGGUGUAGCGGUGAAAUGCGUAGAUAUCGGAAGGAACACCUGUGGCGAAAGCGGCUCACUGGACCACAACUGACGCUGAUGCACGAAAGCUAGGGGAGCAAACAGGAUUAGAUACCCCAGUAGUCCCUGUCUCUUAUAA
rnacentral:rRNA from 1 species